UUGGUUGCCAUCUUGCUCUGAGUAAAAGGUCUCCUCAGGCUUCCUCAUCAAAAUGAAGUGGCCUGUUAGGCUGUUGGUGCUGUUCUUCUGGAUUCCUGCUUACAGAGGUGAUGUUGUGUUGACACAAACUCCAGUCACCCUGCUUAUCAGCAUUGGAGGUCAAGCCUCUAUCUCUUGCCGGUCUAGUCAGAGCCUGGUACACAGUAAUGGAAACACCUACUUGCAUUGGUUCCUGCAGAAGCCAGGCCAGUCUCCACAGCUUCUCAUCUAUCAGGUUUCCAACAGAUUUUCUGGGGUGCCAGACAGGUUCAGUGGUAGUGGGUCAGGGACGGAUUUCACCCUCAAGAUCAGCAGAGUAGAGCCUGAGGACUUGGGAGUUUAUUACUGCUUACAACGUACACAUAAUCCUCCCACAGUGAUGCAGACCCUAACAAAAACAUCCUUGCUUGGGACAUUGCAGCUGUCAAAUAAGUUACUCAUCUUUUUGAGAGAGAGUUUUUGAGGAACUGAAGAUUAUGGGUGCAGUUGAGGGCAUGUACAUGUAGGCUACAGCUCACUGGUCAAUUUUAUUUUUUUGGCUUCAUUGGCUACAAUAAUAAUGAUAUUGCAUUUGACUCAUGAGAAUAGUGAACAGGUGUCCUCUCAGCUACCAGCAAUGAUGGUGAUAAAGCUAACUGUAAUCCCUUUCUGUUACUACAUGCCACAUCUUCUUUUGUCAAUAUUAUAUAU